CCCUUAGAUGUCCUGGGCGGCCCGCGCGCUACAAUGUCAGCUACUGAAGGUUAAUGCUUUGAAAGAGAGCGCGCUCUCCUUUUAAUUGCUCGCAUGCUGGGAUAAAUGAAUGCAAUUUUGUUUUGAACGAGGAAUUCCUAGUAGCCAUGUUUCACUAGAAGAUGGCGAAUGCGUCCCUGCCCUUUGUACACACCGCCCGUCGCUCCUACCGAUGAGCGUUUUGGCGAAGACGGUUUGAGUAGCUGCGUAAUUUCGUGUUGUUGACUCCGACAGUUUGAGCCUUCACGUUUAGAGGAAGGAGAAGUCGUAACA
rnacentral:rRNA from 1 species